ensembl:lincRNA
UUUUCAGAGCCAAGACUCAUCUCUUUUUGGAUUUUCUAAUGCCCUUCAUAGCAACAUCUUAAUAUAUUUAUAUUUGCCUGGCAUAUAUUUUUUAAUGGGAAGGAAACUGUAAAGUUUAUUUUUAACUAACUGGUUGAAUGCAAAAAAUAGACUUUGCCCUUGGAUAGUCCUUGUUUGUAGUGUGGGUAUCAGGAGAAUGAGGCAAGCCAAGCUGUGAGGAGUCUGUGGGUCAUGGUUUUGGCAGCGUGGAACCUGGGACAUAGAGUCCCCCUUGAUACGGCUGUUCGGCAGACCAACUUUGUUGUAAAUAUUUAGAUAAAAAUGGGCUUUAGAGCAGCCACAUCUGAAGACCCACAAGGCUGAAUGUUACACAGGGAGGAACAGCUCUGCUUGUGGCCAACCCACAGUCCCCUGACCCAGGACCAAUUUGAGGCCAUCACUUCCUGCCUUGUUCUGGUUUACCUGGUGAUAUCACA